rnacentral:misc_RNA from 1 species
GGAUGGAUCAUGUAAAUUUAUUCCUGUGAAGCUUGUCGGCUUCAACUUGAUCUUUUUCGAGUUAUGGCCACGGCUCCCACAUCAUACACCCACUUGCACGUGGUUAACUGUUCAUGGGUAUCGACUUUUGUUGAUAUCCAUGUGUAUUACCAAAAAAAACUCAUUGUUUCAUCAUUUCUAAUUGAAUUUGAAAAAACAAAUAUGAACCAAAAACAACUUUCAACAACGGAUGUCUUGGUUCCCGCAUCGAUGAAGAACGCCGCGAAAUGCGAUACUUAAUGUGAAACGCAACGCAGUGUGAAUCAUCAAGGUUUCGAACGCACAUUGCGCUGUUCCAGUCUUCUGGAACAGCAUGCCUGUUUGAGCAUCGUUUCAAACUCAACCCUCCCCUCACACGGGUGGUCGUUGGACGUUGAGUGCCCUACUUUGAGAUUUUAAUCCCAAGAGUAGGCCACUUGAAAUGGAGACCCCUUUCUGGACGCCUCGCAUCUAAGGAUCAGGCUUCUUGUGCUGUGACGGAGCUUACACUCCCCCGACACUCGAAUGUCUACGAUCUAAUCGGCAGGGUAUCUAUUCCAAAGGAAAGGAUCGUCACUUGAAAUCCCGUGUGUCUAAAAAACACGCGCUCAAAUCGCGAUCUCAAAUCAGGCAAGGCCACCCGCUGAACUUAAGCAUAUCAAUAAGCGGAGGAAAAGAAACUAACAAGGAAGCCCUCAGUAACGGCGAGUGAAGCGGGCAAAGCUCAAUAUUAAAAUCUGCGUCUCGUAACAGGGGCGUCGAAUUGUAGUUUAGAGGGCGUUCUCGGUGGUGCGCCGGACAUAAGUGUUCAGGAACGGACCGUCAGAGAGGGUGAUAACCCCGUCUGUGGCUCGGCGAUGCACUGUCGUAUCGAAGCGAACGUUUCCAACGAGUCGGGUUGUUUGGGAAUACAGCCUUAAUUGGGUGGUAGAUGCCAUCUAAAGCUAACCUAUCUGCGGGAGACCGAUAGCGAACAAGUAGCGUGAGCGAAAGAUGAAAAGCACUUUGGAAAGAGAGAGAAAAGGACCUGAAAUUGUUGAAAGGGAAGGGAUUGAAAUCAGUGGUGACCCGAUGAAAUUCGCUUGGUUGCGACGGUACCCUAGGGCGGCCGUGAAGUUCAAAGCUCACGCCGUUUUGGGUCGUGCAGUCGGAGCUGGGUUACUUUUCGUUGUGCUAGUCGGCCAAUAUCAGUUUGCGCAUCAACGCAGGGAACAAGACUGGUGGGAAGGUAGGGAAGAUGCUGCGUACGUAGUUCUUCCUGUUAUAGCCCAUUGGGGAUUCCACUGCGGCAGACUGAGGAAAGUCCAUUGUGGACGCCAUGCACGCGCCUCGGCGAGACCCCUCAUGGGAAGCCUGCUAAGGGUUAUGCCCGGUGGGAGGGUCGUCGGCGUGCAAAGGAUAUUGGCGAAUUGGUUUCCAUCCACCCGUCUUGAAACACGGACCAAGGAGUCCACCGUCUACGCGAGUACGCGGGUGGUAAACCCCGGUGCGAAAUGAAAGUGAAGGCGUCAGUGGGCGCUGAGAUGGGACGGCAGCCGCGAAGGUUGCCCGCACCACCGGCCGAUCUGGAUUCCUCUGCGAUGAAAGAUUUGAGCAAGAGCGUAGCCGAUGGGACCCGAAAGAUGGUGAACUUUGCCUGAGUAGGUUGAAGUCAGUGGAAACACUGAUGGAGGACCGUCGAGAUACUGACGUGCAAAUCGUUCUUCAGACUUGGGUAAAGGGGCGAAAGACUAAUCGAACCAUCUAGUAGCUGGUUCCCUC